rnacentral:rRNA from 1 species
UCAGUCGACUCCUACGGGGAGGCAGCAGUGGGGAAUAUUGCACAAUGGGGGAAACCCUGAUGCAGCCAUGCCGCGUGUGUGAAGAAGGCCUUCGGGUUGUAAAGCACUUUCAGUAGGGAGGAAGGUAGUGUAGUUAACACCUGCACUAUUUGACGUUACCUACAGAAGAAGCACCGGCUAACUCCGUGCCAGCAGUCGCGGUAAUACGGAGGGUGCGAGCGUUAAUCGGAAUUACUGGGCGUAAAGCGCAUGCAGGCGGCCUGUUAAGUCAGAUGUGAAAGCCCGGGGCUUAACCUCGGAAUUGCAUUUGAAACUGGCAGGCUAGAGUCUUGUAGAGGGGGGUAGGAAUUUCAGGUGUAGCGGUGAAAUGCGUAGAGAUCUGAAGGAAUACCAGUGGCGAAGGCGGCCCCCUGGACAAAGACUGACGCUCAGAUGCGAAAGCGUGGGGAGCAAACAGGAUUAGAUACCCUGGUAG